rnacentral:lncRNA from 1 species
CUACACUUCAACAAAAACUUCCACUUCGUAAGCUUCAAUUUUCCCAGCUUUAUCCUCACUGGAACCUUAACUCGAAGAUUCAAUGGAAUAGUUCCACUCUGUUGAUCCACCUGCAAUGACUGCAACAAAUUGGUAGCAUUCUCUGUUUGCCCUGUCAUUUUCACGUUAAGUACAGUGGUAUUUCUAUGGCCUUGAUAAAACUUUGGCAAUGACCCUUCACAUAAAUUCGUGCCUUUGUACCAUACACUCAAAUGGCUUCCAUUUUCAUAGUAAAUUCCAAUCUUUUUGUUGGGAUUUCUUGCAGUGAUGCUCACGUUAAAUGUUGCGGACAAGCUCAUGUCAUUGUUGAUGUUGAAUUGUGUAAUUCUCAUGCUGUCGACAGAGUACUUUGGUAUUUUUGGUUGGAAGACAAAGUAAAUUAUGGCAGCUAAAAUGCCUAAGAGUAUGAUCAGU